GAUGAACGCUGGCGGCGUGCCUAAUACAUGCAAGUCGAGCGAACGGACGAGAAGCUUGCUUUUCUGAUGUUAGCGGCGGACGGGUGAGUAACACGUGGAUAACCUACCUAUAAGACUGGGAUAACUUCGGGAAACCGGAGCUAAUACCGGAUAAUAUUUUGAACCGCAUGGUUCAAAAGUGAAAGACGGUCUUGCUGUCACUUAUAGAUGGAUCCGCGCUGCAUUAGCUAGUUGGUAAGGUAACGGCUUACCAAGGCAACGAUGCAUAGCCGACCUGAGAGGAUGAUCGGCCACACUGGAACUGAGACACGGUCCAGACUCCUACGGGAGGCAGCAGUGGGGAAUCUUGCGCAAUGGGCGAAAGCCUGACGGAGCAACGCCGCGUGAGUGAUGAAGGUCUUCGGAUCGUAAAACUCUUUUAUUAGGGAAGAACAUAUGUGUAAGUAACUGUGCACGUCUUGACGGUACCUAAUCAGAAAGCCACGGCUAACUACGUG
rnacentral:rRNA from 1 species